rnacentral:rRNA from 1 species
AUUGAACGCUGGCGGCAGGCUUAACACAUGCAAGUCGAGCGAGCGGCGGACGGGUGAGUAAUGUAUGGGAAACUGCCUGAUGGAGGGGGAUAACUACUGGAAACGGUAGCUAAUACCGCAUACCAUCCGAUGUACCCAGAUGGGAUUAGCUAGUAGGUGGGGUCACGGCUCACCUAGGCGACGAUCCCUAGCUGGUCUGCGAGGAUGACCAGCCACACUGGGACUGAGACACGGUCCAGACUCCUACGGGAGGCAGCAGUGGGGAAUAUUGCACAAUGGGCGCAAGCCUGAUGCAGCCAUGCCGCGUGUGUGAAGAAGGCCUUCGGGUUGUAAAGCACUUUCAGCGAGGAGGCGUUACCCGCAGAAGAAGCACCGGCUAACUCCGUGCCAGCAGCCGCGGUAAUAC